UAAUACGGAGGAUGCGAGCGUUAUCCGGAUUCAUUGGGUUUAAAGGGUGCGUAGGCGGACUAUUAAGUCAGUGGUGAAAUCCUGCAGCUUAACUGCAGAACUGCCAUUGAUACUGAUAGCCUUGAGUUUGGUUAAGGUAGGCGGAAUGUGUAAUGUAGCGGUGAAAUGCUUAGAUAUUACACAGAACACCAAUUGCGUAGGCAGCUUACUGAGCCGACACUGACGCUGAGGCACGAAAGCGUGGGGAUCGAACAGG
rnacentral:rRNA from 1 species